AAUGAUUUCGUUGGAUCUUGGGAGCAGACUCAACAACUUGUUUCUUUGAUAAAAUGUCUCAACCCGUAGCUGUCUUGAAAUCAAAUCACUAAAAAAAUUAAUUAAAGAGAAAGAAAUCUCAAAUUGAAUCAUGAGAGGUACGUGGACAAUAACUUUUUAAUUAGAAGUCGUUGGUGAUAAUUUUAAAAAUAAAAUACAUUCACUUAGUAUUGAUUAUUAUUUUGAGAAAUGGUUUUGAAACUUUUAAUUUAAUGUUGAUAAAUUAUUGCAUAUUGGUUUAUUAAUCGUUAUAAACUUAUAUGUUCCCAACUAAAACCUGUUUCUUAUUUUUGGGAAUAAUUUAUGCAUCGUAUAAUUUUAUUGAAAUUAUACGUGGGGGGACCCUACAGACUUGCGUUUUAAGUUAUUUUAUGGUUCUACUUAAAACAAUACUGUACAAAUAAUAGGCAGAAACAAAAUUGUUAUAUCCAUCUCAAAUUGAAUUAUGAGGAGUAAGCAGACAGCCUAAAUUAUGGGGAAAUUAUUAUCGCUUACUUACUUGUGUCAAACCCUCUUAGCUAGUACAUGCAAUUAUUCAUGGCAUUCUUUACUUUGUUUCCACGAAGGAUAAUUCGUAGAAGCUGAUUUAAUUCUUUGCCUUUUGAUUUAUGUAUGUCAUCACAAAAACAAUUUUAAGUUUUUUAUAGUUCAACCAUUGUGGAGUUGAAAACCAGACCGUAUUAGGUUGGGAUGGUAAUUGGUAAGUUAUCCUACUAAUGGUGCUUGGAUUGACAAAGCAUUCCAAAGUUUUUAUAUGAUACUAAUGUUUUUUUUUAGCCAACUAAGAAAGUUGAGAGGCAAGCAAAAUUUAGACUAAACGUGUCUGUUUUAACUCAUUUAAGAAGUACGCAUUAUAAUGUUGAUCAUUUUAUUAGCUAAUUUGUGGAAUUUAAAUCUUAAUGUGACGUUUCAUCUUAUGUUAUUUUAGAAAAUUUGUCAAAAAGAAAGGAAAGAAAAGAAAAGAAAGAAUAAUAAUGGAAGAGUGAUAAAGAGGAGAGGUUGAAGCUCUGUUUUUCCUUGAAAAAACAGAAAGAAAGAAUGAAGAAGAUGGGAUUUGCUGUAAAGGAAAGAAGAAAACGAGAGGGACCAUAAGUUUGAAAAAGAAACACUUUUAGU
rnacentral:lncRNA from 1 species